AGGACACAUACUGUCAGGAUUUAGGUGUGAUUUGAAACGUCAUGGAUUUUUUGGUACAUCCGCGUCACGAAAUAGCGCCAAAAAAGCGGCGCGAUGAAAAAUGCGUACGUCUGAAAUAAAUAAACUUUGCGAAAAAACUACAGUGAAUUGACUUUCCAUAUUUUAGAGACUAAACAAGGAGUUAUCCGUCUAUUGAAAAACUGUAAGCUUUUGUCAAUGCACUGUACAGAGUUACAAUUAUUUCGCUCCGAAUCCAGAAAACUGAAAAUUUUACGUGUCCGAAAAUGCUUUUGUAUAGCGAGGGACUAUAUUGCGAGGAAAUUGUUUCCAAAUAUGAAAUUGGCUUAAAAUUAAUAAAAUGGUCGAAUAUAUAUCCAGGUUUUCGAUUUUGAAGGGAAUUUCCCGCACACUCUCUGGUUAAGAAGUCUCAACAGAAAAUCAGAAAAGUUGUGAAAAAACAGAGCAAAAUUUCUCCCCUGAGGCACCUCCGAUAAGAGUGCACAUCUCAUUCAUUUCCCGAACUUAAAAUUACGUUUAUUCAUCCAAAAAAGUUAGUGACUAACCUCAAUUUUCACGCAAAGCAAUGAUGUUCCAUAAGUUGCUACGACAGCAUUUUUUUGACCUUGAACUGUGGAAGUUCAAAAAAGUCAUGUGAUACAAAUCAUGUGACGCGCAGAUUUGGGUGCUAAAAUGCACCUUUAUAGACCCAUAUUAAGUCAAAUAUAAAUUUAAGAAACAGAAUAAACAUUCCUUUUAUCAAGGACCAAAAACUUAAUACAAAUUUAGUAAAUUUACCGAAAUCCCGCCCACUAAACGAGAGGUGAACUGAGGUGCUUUCCAACGAAACCCCGCUAUUUACCACGAGGCAAGGAGUGGUGAAGUAGGUUGUGCGGCAAGUUAUGAUUUUUAUCCUUGCUGAAAUAUGGAACCCACAUAUUUAUAGCAUGUCAGAGACUCAUUAUCAGAUAAAAGAAGAACAGUGUUUUCAGAUAUUACAGAAUCUCUGCCAGGCUUUGAAGUGCCCUGCAAAGUGAUCACGAUGAUAUGCUGCAUCAUUAUCAUGCAUUCCUAUCAGUCAUAUUAAAAAAAAAACUGUCACCAAGCCCUUAGUGAAAAUUGGUUAUCAAAGUAUUCUUUGGCAGCACUUACAUUUUUUGAAACAUAAAAAUUGAAUUUUUAAAAAGAAAUAUGACUUCGGUGGUAUUUCUUUAAGAUAAUUGGAUGGCAGUGUUGCAAACAAGUGUUAUUAUGGACAUAUUUUUUCUAAUUGGACUUCCAGGAGCCAGACUGCUUUUCACAUUCAAACAAGAAUUUAAAAAGAAAAAAAAAAUGUCAGAAUAGUUAAAAGAGGUAUUUUGAAUAUAUUUACAGUCUACAUCCAUUUAUAUCCUGUAUAUAAUGCCUGGUGUUCACAAAUACAGGUACAGCCCUUUUAGGAAGCAAGUUACAUGUUCCCAUAUUUUAAUAUCAGAUAUCAAAUUGAAUAAAGACAUAAAUUGUCCUUGGUGAUCAGCAUAUUUUUCUCUUAUUUUAAGUCUUAAAAAGGAUAGCUAAUGUAUUUUGAGAUAAUGCAUUUGAAGACGGAACAUGUAUGAAAAUUUCUUCAGAAAAA